CUACUUUGCAGCUGUAUUGAGCCCUGCCGUGAUAAUGAGUGGAUCAAAGAAACGAGAAGUCGACAGUGACUGUCGAGUGUUUCAGAAUGGAAUCCAUGAAGGGGAAAACACGUGGAGAGGACUGUAGGGUCUGACAGGAUGUCUGGGGUCAUCCAGAGGAUGAAGCUGCCGUGGUGGAAACUCGCCAAUGUCACCACCAAUGUCAUCGCCAAACUUGACAGGAAAAACUUCGGGCUGCUGAAAAGAAUCCAGGAUAAGGUGAGGGAGGAAAACCCUGAGCUAGAUGUGAUUUUCCUACACUGCUUAAUCCACCAGGAAGCGCUCUGUAAGUCUGUUAUGCAUCUUGAUCAUGUCGUGAAGCCAGUCGUAAAACUCGUUACCUUUAUACCAGUGAGAGGGCUUCAGCAUCAUCAGUUCAUUAAGUUUCUUGAAGAAACUGAUGCUGAUCACCAGGACUUGCUUUACCACUCUCAUGUCUGCUGGUUAGGUUUGGGGAAAGUAUGUCAGCGAGUGUGGGAGCUCAAAGGCGAGAUGAGCUCAUUUUUGAAGUUAAUGGGGAAAACUGAUGAUUUUUCUGAGCUGCGCGACAGAGAUUGGCUGUGAUUUUGCUUUUGCCGUGGACAUACUGACACACAUGAAUGAGCUGAACGUGAAGCUGCAAAGGAAAGAUCAAUUUGAAAUGUACACAAAUGUGACAAGCCAAACUGACUUUAUUCUCAAGACAAAUGUCAAAACAAUCCUUCGCUCAUUUCCCUACACUGGCGAUGCUGACAGAGCCAGUGGACAUGUGAUGAAAUAUAAGGAAUCACUAGAAGACCUACACGGAGAAUUCUGCCGUCGGUUCUCCGAUUUUGAAAAAAUUAACAAGACACUUUAGCUGGUAUCAUGUCCUUUGUCACAAGACCCAGAAACAGCACCUCAGGAGUUGCAUUUGGAACUGAUCGAUCUUCAAAGUGACUCGGUCUUAAAGGAGAAGUUCAGCUCCCUUAAACUGAAUGACUUUCACGCCUCACUAAGUGAAGCCAAGUUUCCAAACAUUGGGAAGAUGGCACAGAGGAUGCUGGUGUUGUUUGGAUCUACCUACGUGUGUGAGUUGACGUUUAGCGUGAUGAACAUCAACAAAGCACACCUCAGAUCCAUCCUGAGAAUCGCCACAACCAGACUGACACCAGACUUUGAUGCACUGGCAAGAAAAAGGUGACCAACAACACUGUUCCCACUGAAAUUGAAUCUGGAGCACAGUGGACACCACCUUCAACAUCCCUGCAGGAGGGAAGAGCAAAGCAGAUUUCAGCUUGUCUUUACGACACCUAAUCUCUCCUCCUCGGUGAAGCCCAUGAUCUCCAUGGCCUCCAGAGUCUCAUCAAACAUCUCGUCAUCCUGCUGACCAGAGAUCUCCACGUGACCUGCCACCAGGAAACGGUAGCUGCUGAAGUCCUCCAGGAGAAGCUCCUCUACAAGUACAAACACACAAAGCAUUCUGAUCAGAGGACAUUUGAAGUGAAUUACCCAGACCUUAACUUGAAGUCCUUAUUUCAACUUAAAAUUGAUGAUUGACGUUAUGGGGAUUUCUCCUUAUGCCCUAAAGGGAGGCAAACCUGCAUGAUGUGGCACAAAGUGUAAACAGAUUUAUGUCUGUAUGACCUUUGAAAAAUUUAUUUCAUAGUUGAUGACACCUGGUUAAAAAACUUUCACAUAAUCAGAUUAAUGUUAAGAAUGUGCAACUUCCUAUCUGACAAUAAGUCAUCUGCUCAGACUCUCCCUAAGAAGGAGUGGAGAAAAGCUACAUGUGCAACACAUUUUCCUCUAAAAAUAAAGCUCUGACUGACUUUAA